ACCAUGCGAGGUCGAACGGAUAGCACAGAAGAGCUUGCUCUUUGGGUGACGAGCUGGCGGACGGGCUGAAUAAUGUCUGGGGAUCUGCCCGGCAGAGGGGGAUAACUACUGGAAACGGUAGCUAAUACCGCAUAACCUCGCAAGAGCAAAGAGGGGGACCUUCGGGCCUCUCGCUGUCGGAUGAACCCAGAUGGGAUUAGCUAGUAGGUGAGGUAACGGCUCACCCAGGCGACGAUCCCUAGCUGGUCUGAGAGGAUGACCAGCCACACUGGAACUGAGACACGGUCCAGACUCCUACGGGAGGCAGCAGUGGGGAAUAUUGCACAAUGGGCGCAAGCCUGAUGCAGCCAUGCCGCGUGUAUGAAGAAGGCCUUCGGGUUGUAAAGUACUUUCAGCGGGGAGGAAGGGUUGUGGGCGAAUACCCUGCGACAUUGACGUUACCCGCAGAAGAAGCACCGGCUAACUCCGUGCCAGCAGCCGCGGUAAUACGGAGGGUGCGAGCGUUAAUCGGAAUUACUGGGCGUAAAGCGCACGCAGGCGGUCUGUCAAGUCAGAUGUGAAAUCCCCGGGCUUAACCUGGGAACUGCAUUUGAAACUGGCAGGCUGGAGUCUUGUAGAGGGGGGUAGAAUUCCAGGUGUAGCGGUGAAAUGCGUAGAGAUCUGGAGGAAUACCGGUGGCGAAGGCGGCCCCCUGGACAAAGACUGACGCUCAGGUGCGAAAGCGUGGGGAGCAAACAGGAUUAGAUACCCUGGUAGUCCACGCUGUAAACGAUGUCGACUUGGAGGUUGUGCCCUUGAG
rnacentral:rRNA from 1 species